rnacentral:rRNA from 1 species
ACAGCAGUAGCCGCGGUAAUACAGAGGGUGCAAGCGUUAAUCGGAAUUACUGGGCGUAAAGCGCGCGUAGGUGGUUCGCCAAGUUGGAUGUGAAAUCCCCGGGCUCAACCUGGGAACUGCAUCCAAAACUGGCGAGCUAGAGUAUGGUAGAGGGUGGUGGAAUUUCCUGUGUAGCGGUGAAAUGCGUAGAUAUAGGAAGGAACAUCAGUGGCGAAGGCGACCACCUGGACUGAUACUGACACUGAGGUGCGAAAGCGUGGGGAGCAAACAGGAUUAGAUACCCCUGUAGUCCCUGUCUCUUAUAC